rnacentral:lncRNA from 1 species
UUUUUUAUAGUUCUGUCACAUCCUUUAAAUUUAAGUAGGAGGAUUCUCUUUUUGAAUAAUGUUACCUUAUUAACAUACAAAACAGGUAAAUGAGUUACAUUGAUACCAAUUUCACUUUUUCUUAAGCUGAAACUUACUCUAGUUUGCACAUUUCUAAAAUUGUAGGAAGAAGCGGCGGCGGCGUAUCUCAAUGUUUAUUAUGUAUGAAUUUUAUAGGAAGAAACGGAGUACCUCAACAUCAUCUAUUUGUCACAUUAAACACUCUAAGAUCUGAGAAAAAAGUGUCAUGCAUUUUAGUUGGACAAUGAAAUUAAUAAAGGGUACUGUUAAAUGUAUAUACCUAUGGAGUUUAUAAAAGUUAAUUGUGUCUCACUCAACUCAAGAUGAAGUCCCUGAAUUGUAUUUUUUUUUUCUUCUUUCAAAAUUUGCUAAACAUUUUAUUAUAUUUUACUAAUUUUCCAUAAAAUAUUUUUUUUCUUUUUCCUUUUUUUUUACUACCUAAAACUUAUUUUAUUUUCUACAGUUUAUUUUCUUUUCUUCAUUAUUAUAUAUCAGAUUUUUAAAAUAAAAUUUCUAGUUCAUUUAAAUUUACUUUAACAAUUACUUUAAUAAUUUGUAUUUAUAUCUUUUAAUAACAGAUUAAAUUAACAACUAAAGUAAAUAAAUGUUUUGUAAUAAACCUAUUAUGUUCGGUAUGUAAUUUUUUAAUAUUACUUAAAAUAAAUAUUAAUGUUAUGAAAAUUUGUUUACCUCUUUUAGUUGACCUUAUUCUUGUAGAAAGUAAGAUUUAUAAAGUUUAAUAAUUAAUAUUAC